CGCAAUCUGGACGAAGAUUUCCAGGCUUCUGUACAGUCCAUCACCAAAGUCCUUCCCCCCCCAGAGGUCUGUGGCCCAAUCCGCCAACCUCCUCCGGUGCCCCCGCCGCUGUGAGAAUCUGAUCCGGAGGUAGACAAGACAGUCCAAAGUUAAAGACGCCUCUCAAUGCAUAUCAUUAUUGAAGAACAAUGUCGGCAAACCCUACUUGGGGAUCGGAGAGAAGAUGCUGAGCCCGGCACGGAACUUCUUGAUGGUUCCGCCAGCUUUGAACCAGCUGUGCCUUUUCUCCUGCUGGGCCUUAAGGAACUCAUUACUGAGAUGCUUCCACUGCUGAGACGUGAACGUGCUCAGGAUCCUGCCAGCGAAGAAGAAAAGGUUAGUUCGACUAAUGACAAAUGUUAUCCAUAAUGAUGUUCCCUUUUGUGCAUCAUUAGUAAAGCAGGAAUCUUUAAUUUGAGACCUCGGUGUUCUGCGGCGGGAGACUCACUUUUUGAGUUGCAGGCCCAAGCUGAAUCCGUCUUUAUUGGAGGGCUGGAACACGUCGACCGACGGCUCUGAGGAAAGAUGACUUUUUGUUAUGAUUACACAUUGCAGUCACGCAAACGCUCCUCCCCCUCCCUCCCUUUUUUUUUUUUUGCCUCCACCACCACGUGCCGUGCACGCGUCGUACUCACCUCCCACGCUCAGUGAGUGGCACAAAUUGCUAAAAAGCGCCUUGAACAUCAACACUGACAUCUCUACUCACCGGGUCCAUCGAGGUACUGAGAAAGAGAAAAGCGGAGUCUCAGAAUAAUGGGCUCUGUUCUGAUUACUUUCCAAGCUGUCGCAACCUCCUCCUGAGUCAGACACAUAUACACACACACACAAACACACACACACACACAAACAUACACAUGCAGAUAUACACAACGUUAGCCUGCUAAUUAGGACACUUUCUCUUCAUAUGAAUAAACUAGGAAUAUAAGCUUCAUUGGAAAUAGCAGUAAUGAGCUAAAAUGAACAAUAAAAGCUGAACGCUGCAACUCACGUCUAGGAAGCCGAUGUUGAUAUGAAGAUCGAUGUCGACGUCGUCGAUGAUGCCGUACUCCCUGGAAAGACAGGAAUAAUUCUGCAUGAUUAUCCGGGAAGAUAGGCCUCAAAUAUACAACACAAUAUGGAAUUCAUAUUAACUCACAGAAGGCAUUAAUAGAAUGUGUGAUGAUAACCAUAGAACCCACCAAGCAGACAUUCAUUCAUUAAUUUUCUUCCGCUUGGAGCGCUUGGAGCCUAUCUCAGCUGUCUAACCCUAACCCUAACCCAGCCAAUCACAGGGCACAUAUAGACAAACAACCAUUCACACUCACAUUCAUACCUAUGGACAAUGACUAUCGCCAAUUAACCUAGCAUGUUUUUGGAAUGUGGGAGGAAACCGGAAUACCCGGAGAAAACCCACGCAUGCAAACUCCACACAGAGAUGGCCGAGUGUGGAAUUGAACCCUGGGUCUCCUAACUGUGAGGUCUGCGUGCUAACCACUAGGCCGUGCCGCCCCAUCAUAUUGAAAAUACAGUCUUUGUAUGCCCCAAAUUGUCAUAUGAUUUCAUAUCAUCGCUGUCCAUGCAUCUUAAUUAAUUGCAUGCGACUGCAAAAUAACCCGCCAUGGGGCCAAAGAAAGUUGCAAGUGCCAAAACAUUGAUAAAGAAUGCGAGUAACACUAUUGAAUUAAACAGGAAG